GUUCAGCAGUCUGGCGUCCAGGAGGGACAAAAACAGGACAACAAGGUUAAGGGAAACAGCAACAGCUGAGGGCUUCUUCAUCUGAGAAUAAAAGUGACGAGAGCAACUCCACAAGAGAUGAAGCACCUUCUCCAGCGGUCGACUGUCUGUUCCCUUCAGUCCCACUCUGUUCUCGUCAGAGGGAGAGGUGAGGCCUGGAGGAGGUGAGGGGUGCGACCUGGUACCAGUCAUAACUUCUGAACCGGGAGAAAGUGCAAAACCUGAUGAGCAAAACGGACAAAUAAAAGGUGAGGAGCGGAGGGGCACCAGCUGUGCCGAGUUAAUCAUUUGGAGCUCAGGUUUAAAAGGAGGAUGGAGACACCACUCGAAGCCGGAUGAUUACUUCAGUUAUGGAUUUUCACCACACCUUCACUAUUCAGCUAAAGAACCACGGAUCUUCAUUCCACGUCCCAUCCUCCUCCUCAGCUCCUGGAUCUCCCCUCUCUGCUGCCUCACCUCACGCCCGGCUGGGUCUCCACUCUCAUCCACCUCUGCUCCCCACUACCCCACGGCUCGCUGAGAUAGGACUUUGGACUUAUCGCCCACGGCAUUACUCACUGGUUUUCCAGUGCUCCUUUAGUUCUCAUUUGUGAAUAAAAUACUUUUAUUUCUUACCUUCUGACUCCCGUGUUGAUUCUGCAUGUCUUGGGUUAAACGCCUUCCCCCAGUCAUGACAACUACUUGGUUUUACUCUUCUCUUAGCUGAACUCUUCUAAAAACGAUUAGCCUAUUUUACACAAAUCAGAAAUUAAACGCUGAGUUCCUUGAAGGAAAUCCAAUCACCAAACACCUCAUAACAGUUUCAUAGGUGCAAUCAGGGGCUGUGGACGAGCUGUUUCUCCCCUCCCUGAAAACACUCAUCAGGUGCUCUAGGUCUCAACCAUUGCAAUCAGCUGCUGCAUGAACACCUGUUUCCAACUAGUAGCACAGCAUAAGUUUGGUUGCACAACUGAAGCGUCAGCGGAAGCUUCAGCCCUUGUGUCUCAGCCCGUCCGAGGUAAAGACAUACGUGUCCACCUGCGCGUGUCCACAGAGCAAACAAACUCGACUCAGACGCUGCUCCAUCGACACCUUGCAAAAUGUGCCAUUAUCCUAUAUCUGUGAUCAUUGGCUUCAGAGGAAGGUCACACACAGCAUACCGCUUUUGCAACCUUCAAAACCUCCGCUCGCUAAAACCAACUCCCCCUGAAGACACUCACCUGUCUAUGGGACUGUGGAACUGCCAAUCAGCUGUAAACAGACUUCAUUACCGCAUAUGCGAACCACCUGUCACUCGAUACACUGGCUCUCACCGAGACCUGGAUCAAACCAUGUGACAAUGCUACCCCAUCUGCUCUCUAAAUUAACCACACUUUCUCCCACACUUCUCGUGCAUCUGGCCGAGGUGGUGGAACGGGCAUGUUAAUUUCCAACAAACUGAUAUACAGUCAGUUGCUACCCGUCACUAAACACAACUCCUUUGAAUACCAUGCUAUCCAGGUAACUGUACCGAAAAAAAUCUUUUUGGUUGUCAUAUAUCGCCAACCAGGUCAACUAGGAGACUUUCUUGAUGAACUUGACACCCUACUCUCCUCCGUUCCUGAGCACGACUGUCCAACAAUGGUCCUUGGAGACAUGAAUAUUCACCUGGACAAUCCCAGUUCACCAGGCUUCCUGUCACUAAUGUCAUCAUUUGAUCUAAAACUAGUACAAAG